rnacentral:rRNA from 1 species
GACGGGGGAUGCAAGUGUUAUCCGGAAUCACUGGGCGUAAAGCGUCUGCAGGUGGUUUCCUAAGUCCACUGUUAAACCUUGAGGCUCAACCUCAAAUCUGCAUUGGAAACUAGGAGACUUGAGUAUAGUAGGGGUAGAGGGAAUUUCCAGUGGAGCGGUGAAAUGCGUAGAUAUUGGAAAGAACACCGAUGGCGAAGGCACUCUACUGGGCUAUUACUGACACUCAGAGACGGAAGCUAGGGGAGCAAAUGGG